UGAGUUGUAGCUGAUUGAAGGAGUACAUAUCUGUGUCCUGCAAUAAUCAGAUUUUAAAUACUGUUCUUGUUUCCAGUUAUUGCUUCAUUAUACACAAUAAUGGGGUAGUUGGUCACUUAUAAAUAAAGAUAAUUGAUUUUUUCCUUUUAAGGUCCAUCUUCCGAGUUUCACAGUUUUCUCCAACUUUCCACGGUUCCAGAAGAAGACGAUAUUUCGAGCCCGUUGUCUGGAUUUCUCCCCACAGAGUGGAUUCUACACUGUGGCCAAUAACAAAGGCAGUGCUCUGCUCUUCAGGCUUCUGCAUUAUACUGACUUCUAGAGAUGAAGACUCCAGACGGCUGACGGCUCAUGGGUUCUUAUGAUUACUCUUCAAUAAAGCUUUGCCAUAUAACUCUCAGAA